AAAUUGAAGAGUUUGAUCAUGGCUCAGAUUGAACGCUGGCGGCAGGCCUAACACAUGCAAGUCGAACGGUAACAGGAAGCAGCUUGCUGCUUCGCUGACGAGUGGCGGACGGGUGAGUAAUGUCUGGGAAACUGCCUGAUGGAGGGGGAUAACUACUGGAAACGGUAGCUAAUACCGCAUAACGUCGCAAGACCAAAGGGGGGGGACCUUCGGGCCUCUU
rnacentral:rRNA from 1 species